rnacentral:tRNA from 1 species
GGGAGCAGCUGGCGACUGGUGUCGCUCGCGGUCUUCAAAACCGUCGUGGGGCACGGGCUGUCCCGGGUGGGUUCGAUUCCCACAUGCUCCCGCCA